rnacentral:rRNA from 1 species
AGAGUUUGAUCAUGGCUCAGAUUGAACGCUGGCGGCAGGCCUAACACAUGCAAGUCGAGCGGUAGCACAGAGAGCUUGCUCUCGGGUGACGAGCGGCGGACGGGUGAGUAAUGUCUGGGAAACUGCCUGAUGGAGGGGGAUAACUACUGGAAACGGUAGCUAAUACCGCAUAAUGUCGCAAGACCAAAGUGGGGGACCUUCGGGCCUCAUGCCAUCAGAUGUGCCCAGAUGGGAUUAGCUAGUAGGUGAGGUAACGGCUCACCUAGGCGACGAUCCCUAGCUGGUCUGAGAGGAUGACCAGCCACACUGGAACUGAGACACGGUCCAGACUCCUACGGGAGGCAGCAGUGGGGAAUAUUGCACAAUGGGCGCAAGCCUGAUGCAGCCAUGCCGCGUGUGUGAAGAAGGCCUUCGGGUUGUAAAGCACUUUCAGCGGGGAGGAAGGCGAUAAGGUUAAUAACCUUGUCGAUUGACGUUACCCGCAGAAGAAGCACCGGCUAACUCCGUGCCAGCAGCCGCGGUAAUACGGAGGGUGCAAGCGUUAAUCGGAAUUACUGGGCGUAAAGCGCACGCAGGCGGUCUGUCAAGUCGGAUGUGAAAUCCCCGGGCUCAACCUGGGAACUGCAUUCGAAACUGGCAGGCUAGAGUCUUGUAGAGGGGGGUAGAAUUCCAGGUGUAGCGGUGAAAUGCGUAGAGAUCUGGAGGAAUACCGGUGGCGAAGGCGGCCCCCUGGACAAAGACUGACGCUCAGGUGCGAAAGCGUGGGGAGCAAACAGGAUUAGAUACCCUGGUAGUCCACGCCGUAAACGAUGUCGAUUUGGAGGUUGUGCCCUUGAGGCGUGGCUUCCGGAGCUAACGCGUUAAAUCGACUGCCUGGGGAC